rnacentral:tRNA from 1 species
AGGGAUUUAGGUUAAACAAACCACUUGCCUUCAAAGCAGGUAAUAAGUAGAGCUACUUAAUCUCAA